GCUAGUGUAUCCAAAAUGGCGCUCUCUGGGAUACUCAAGUAAACAAUUAAAAUAAAAAAAGGUUAUACUUAUACUUAUUUAAAUAUAUUAUUUUAUUGAUAUUGUCUCCCGCCCAAGUGUAUCUAGUUUGUGGGAUUAAAACUUCUGAACGUAAUUUGUCAAGUCACUUAUUAAUUAAUUAUGAUCAAUAAUCCAGUAGUUGAGUGUUCGAUUUCAACGUGGUAUCCGGAAUUUACAAAAAAUUCAUUAGAAACAGUUGUAUUAAAAAUACCAGAUAAUUUUCUUAAUUAUUUAGAGCAUGAUGCAUUUAUAUUGCCACUCGAAGCUACUGAUAAUAAAGUACGAAAUUUAAAGUGGUCUGAUGGUUCUUCCGGAGAUGAUAACCUAGCAGAGGAAUCAGCUCAACCAACAUUUCCAGAGUUUAGUAAAAAAAUUCAAGAUGUAAUCGAUGAUUUUGGAGCAGUAUUUAUAAAAUCCAAUUGGAGAACUCCUUCAGAUGCAAUGUGGGUAGCAGUAACAAAAUCAUUAAAGUGCACAUCACUUGAAGAAGUAUAUUUACUUUUAAAAAGUUCAGAUCGCAUUUCACGUGAUCUUACUGCAGUAAAAGAGCUAACGAGUGAUACCAAAGUAAUCCCGCCUUGUUUGGUAUUAAAAAAAUGGCGUGACAUAAAUCCAUGCACAGAAUUUCGUUGUUUCGUCGUGAAUAGAGAGUUAGUUGGCAUUUGUCAAAGAGAUGUCACUCAAUACCAUCAGUACAUAGAAAAUGAAAAAUAUAGUAUACAAACUGACAUAAAAAGUUUGUUUAGGGAGCGUAUAAAAAAUCGAUUCCAACUAGACAAUUAUACGUUUGAUGUGAUUCGUUACAAAAAAGACAAAGUAAAACUACUUGAUUUCGGACCGUUGGAUGAGUCAACAACAAAAGGAACACUAUUUACCUAUCAAGAAUUAAUUAGUUCAAUAGUAGAACCACCAGAAUUUCGUUUCAUUGGUGAAGACAUGGGGAUUCAACCCAGUACUCCAAAUUACUUUUGCAUGCCCCAGGAACUUAACGAAUAUUUUACCAGAGAAGGCUCUAAUGACAUGAUUGAAAUGAUCCGCAGGGCAGUUGAAACCCAACAAAUCGAAUGAACGGCUUAACAAUAAUUUUAUCAAUAUUGACUAAUAAAUAAUAGCUUAUAAUUAUUAAAAAAAAAGUAAAUAAAUCUAAAAAAUGUUAUUAAUUAAUUGAAAAAAUGAUUAAUUGUAGGAAAGGCAUUCGCGCUUCACCACCGUUAUAAUACGUCAAGAAUAGUACCUGCCGAUAUUCAAAUAAGAGAUGAAGCAUUUUUGUACUAAAGUGCAGCAAUAUAUGAUAUUAUUAUUGUUAUUUUUAUUUUAAGUAUUUAUUAUUUUAAAUCUUAAUUAAUAAAUUUAUAAAUUUAAGUUAUUCAUAUAAACUACUCAAUGUACAGUAUGGAUUUACAUAUGAUGUCAUUUUUAUAAUUUAAAAAAAAAAAUUUUUUUAAAUUAAACUAAUCUAAUAAGUAAAUAAAAAUAAUAACCCAUGAUAUUUUGUCCUAUCUUUUAUUUAAAAUGUACAAAUUGAUCAGCAACUCAUGUUUUAUUUUAAAAUAAUUAAAUAAUAAAAUCUCAUAAAUAUCGUUAAUGGUAUUAAUUAUUUAUUAUUCAUUAAAAAAAAUAUAAACUGAUGAUAAAAUAGG